rnacentral:rRNA from 1 species
GAUGAACGCUGGCGGCGUGCCUAAUACAUGCAAGUCGAGCGAACAGACGAGGAGCUUGCUCCUCUGACGUUAGCGGCGGACGGGUGAGUAACACGUGGAUAACCUACCUAUAAGACUGGGAUAACUUCGGGAAACCGGAGCUAAUACCGGAUAAUAUAUUGAACCGCAUGGUUCAAUAGUGAAAGAUGGUUUUGCUGUAACUUAUAGAUGGAUCCGCGCCGCAUUAGCUAGUUGGUAAGGUAACGGCUUACCAAGGCGACGAUGCGUAGCCGACCUGAGAGGGUGAUCGGCCACACUGGAACCGAGACACGGUCCAGACUCCUACGGGAGGCAGCAGUAGGGAAUCUUCCGCAAUGGGCGAAAGCCUGACGGAGCAACGCCGCGUGAGUGAUGAAGGUCUUCGGAUCGUAAAACUCUGUUAUUAGGGAAGAACAAAUGUGUAAGUAACUAUGCACGUCUUGACGGUACCUAAUCAGAAAGCCACGGCUAACUACGUG